rnacentral:rRNA from 1 species
UACGAAGGGUGCAAGCGUUACUCGGAAUUACUGGGCGUAAAGCGUGCGUAGGCGGUUCGUUAAGUCUGUCGUGAAAGCCCCGGGCUCAACCUGGGAAUGGCGAUGGAUACUGGCGGGCUAGAGUGCGGUAGAGGAGAGUGGAAUUCCCGGUGUAGCAGUGAAAUGCGUAGAGAUCGGGAGGAACAUCAGUUGCGAAGGCGGCUCUCUGGACCAGCACUGACACUGAGGCACGAAAGCGUGGGGAGCAAACAGG